GAUGAACGCUGGGGGCGUGCCUAAUAAAUGCAAGUCGAGCGAACAGACGAGGAGCUUGCUCCUUUGACGUUAGCGGCGGACGGGUGAGUAACACGUGGGUAACCUACCUAUAAGACUGGGAUAACUUCGGGAAACCGGAGCUAACACCGGAUAAUAUUUCGAACCGCAUGGUUCGAUAGUGAAAGAUGGCUUUGCUAUCACUUAUAGAUGGACCUGCGCCGUAUUAGCUAGUUGUUAAGGUAAAUGCUUACCAAGGCAACGAUCCGUAGCCGACCUGCGAGGGUGAUCGACCCCCCUAGAACUGAGCCACCGUCCCGACCCCUACGGAAGGCACCAUUAGGGACUCUGCCGCCAUGGGCGAACGCCUGACGUAGCCACGCCGCUUCUGUGACGAAGGUCUUCGGAUCGUAAGACUCUGUUAUUAGGGAAGAACAAACGUGAAAGUUACUGUGUACUUCAGGACGUUACCUAAUCAGAGAGCCACGGCUAGCCACGGC
rnacentral:rRNA from 1 species